rnacentral:lncRNA from 1 species
GAAGACAGGAUUCACAAGUUGGCAAUGAUUCACAAUCAUUGAUUUCUAAAAUGCCUUGUUGGGCUAACCUGUUUAUCCUGUUUUUGUUUAUAUGACCAAGCCGGCAAUGCCAUAAAUAGGUUUCAUUGACUUUAUCUAAUUUAGGAUGUUUAUUAGAUGUGUACAUUACAUUCACAGGCAAUGAUAGAGUAUAAAUGCCAUAUUUCAUUUGUCCACUGAAACACAGCGAAACAUCAACUCCUAUAAUCUGAAGCGGUCAAUCCCUUCUUGACUCAUACACAGACUUCGCGAGUACUUGACUGCACCCAGCAACUUUUCAAUAUCUGAAUUAGAAAUUCAGAUCAUUCAGUGCCAAAGUACAGUGAGUUGCUUGCAAGUCACCGUGAUAGUCUUGGGUCUAAGGGAUACUUAUGCCCAUAUGCUUUGUGAGCUAACUCCUGACAGUGGAGUGCUCAACAGGUGAGUCACUGUUUAGCGACGAUGUACUCCUACAUCUCACCUAUAUGCCAUACCAGUGUCUCCACACUCCUUGGUUAAGAGGACAACCAACUAAAUGGCAUACAACGACCUAUA